rnacentral:rRNA from 1 species
AACGAACGCUUGCGGCGUGCUUAACACAUGCAAGUCGAACGCGAAAGGGACUUCGGUCCUGAGUAAAGUGGCGCCCGGGUGAGUAACGCGUAGGUAAUCUACCCCUGUGUUCGGGACAACAUCGGGAAACUGGUGCUAAUACCGGAUACGUUUCACGGAUUGCGAGAUAAGUGAAGGAAAGAUGGCGACCCUUCGGGGGCUAUUGCACGGGGAUGAGCCUGCGUACCAUUAGCUAGUUGGUGGGGUAAGAGCCUACCAAGGCGACGAUGGUUAGCGGGUCUGGGAGGAUGAGCCGCCACACUGGAACUGGAACACGGUCCAGACUCCUACGGGAGGCAGCAGUGAGGAAUUUUGCACAAUGGGGGAAACCCUGAUGCAGCGACGCCGCGUGAGUGACGAAGGUCUUCGGAUCGUAAAGCUCUGUCAGCAGGGAAGAAACGUUUGGUGGCUAAUAUCCAUUGAAUUUGACGGUACCUGCAAAGGAAGCACCGGCUAACUCUGUGCCAGCCGCCGCGGUAAAAC